rnacentral:rRNA from 1 species
CUGCUGCCUUCCGUAGGAGUCUGGGCCGUGUCUCAGUCCCAAUGUGGCCGUUCAACCUCUCAGUCCGGCUACUGAUCGUCGCUUUGGUGGGCCGUUACCCCGCCAACUGGCUAAUCAGACGCGAGCUCAUCUUUGGACGAUAAAUCUUUGGCAGCAAAAUCAUGCGACCCCGCUGCAUCAUGCGGUAUUAGCAGUCGUUUCCGGCUGUUAUCCCCCACCAAAGGCAGAUUGCUCACGCGUUA